rnacentral:rRNA from 1 species
GACGAACGCUGGCGGCGUGCUUAACACAUGCAAGUCGAACGCUGAAGCUUGGUGCUUGCACUGGGUGGAUGAGUGGCGAACGGGUGAGUAAUACGUGAGUAACCUGCCCUUGACUCUGGGAUAAGCCUGGGAAACUGGGUCUAAUACUGGAUACGACAUGCCACUGCAUGGUGGUGUGUGGAAAGGGUUUUACUGGUUUUGGAUGGGCUCACGGCCUAUCAGCUUGUUGGUGGGGUAAUGGCCUACCAAGGCGACGACGGGUAGCCGGCCUGAGAGGGUGACCGGCCACACUGGGACUGAGACACGGCCCAGACUCCUACGGGAGGCAGCAGUGGGGAAUAUUGCACAAUGGGCGGAAGCCUGAUGCAGCGACGCCGCGUGAGGGAUGACGGCCUUCGGGUUGUAAACCUCUUUCAGCGCGGAAGAAGCGAGAGUGACGGUACGUGCAGAAGAAGCGCCGGCUAACUACGUG